UGGAGCAUCUGGAGUAAACCCCUCACGGGGAGGAGACACGAACUCAUUACAGACAGUGGUGGGUUUGAACCCGGUUGCUGGUGUUUUAAUAGUGUUACACUCUGCUGCUGUGCCACUGGAAAGAUUUUGAGGAGUCUGGAGUCUUACAAUGUUCUAUGACUUACCCUGAAAUGUUGUCACACAUUUCUUUCUGCUAUAUUCACUGGCUUUGCUGAAAAUGGAGAUCUUAAUCUGGGCACAUACACAAACAUUGAAGACGUCAGUAGACUUGAAGUUCACCUGUCGUGGCUCUGGAAUAUGACCUGAAGACAAGAUGAGAACUGAAUAUGUUAAAUGAUGAGACAGUUAAAGAGUACGUAUGCUAAUACAAGAUUUAUAGCUAUUUUCCGUUGUUUUGUUGAUCUCCCAAAUUGCCUAGGAAAUGUCAUUUUAUGUUUUGUGAAUCUUUGUCAUCAAUUGCACUUUACGAGUCUUUUGGCUGGUGAUCUGUACCUUGCUACUCGAAGGCUGUGCCUAUUCUUAGUCUAUCUAUGUGCAUUUGAAAUCCCACAAACUCAUCAGGAUUCAUACACCUUGAAUGGCAGAGCAGACCACCAAUGGUGAUGAUAGAUUAAGCUUGUCUUCUUCUUUAAACAUUUUACUGUGUUACACAAUCCACAGUUUUUUACAAACAAGUUACACAGUUAUUCUUAAAAUAUAAGAAAUAUGAGUCUGUUUAAUCAGUAAGGUCAUGGAUGUUCCAGUCUUGGCCUCAAAACUAGUUUCCCCACACAUCCCCCCACCUUCUCAUAUAGCUUGACUCUCCUGCACUUCGAACUUCUGUCAAACUCCAUAACUUUGUAAUUGUAAUAAUUUAUACUAUGUAAGACAGAAGUGAGAAUAAUUAGGAACAUGUUACUUGGGAGAUUAUAUUGAAUAAACUUGUUAAGUAUCACCAGAGCAGCAAAAACAAGCAUCUACACAAGAACUUUCAGUGUAUGCAGAAUCUCUUGUGUUUAAUAUUACCAGAGAUCGGGUAACAGAAAUUUCUCACUAAAAUUUUGCUUUGAUAGAAAGGUCAAUCAUCAAUAUAUAUAUACUAUUUAUUUAACAAACACUAAAUGUUAAAAGAUUGGUUUUACUUAUUUAGCGUCUUGUUUGUUACGUGUUCUUUAAAGGCACAUUAGUAAGAUCAUAAGAUAUAGGAGCAGAAUUAGGCCAUUUGGCCCAUCAAGUCUGCUCCACCAUUUCAUCAGGGAUGACCCACUUUUCCUCUCAGCCGCAAUCUCCUGCUUUCUCCCAGUAUCCCUUCAUGCCAAUCAAGACUCUGUCAACCUCUGCCUUUAAUAUGCAUAAAGACUUGGCCUCCACAGCUGCCUGUGGCAAAGAAUUCCCAGAUUCACCACUCUCUGGUUAAAAAAAAUCCCUCCUCAUCUCCAUUCUAAAAGGAUGCCCCUCUAUCUGCUGUGUCCUCUGGUCCUAGACUCUCCCACCAUAGGAAACAUCCUCUCCACCCACAUCCACGCUAUCAAGGCCUUUCACCAUUCAAUAAGUUUUAAUGCGGUCACCCCUCAUUCUUCUGAAUUCUAGUGAAUACCAGCCCAGAGCUCUUCAUAUGACAAUGCUUGCAGGAAAAAUGUUACAUGCAUGCUUAUGACAAUGUUAAUGUUACCCAAUAGUAUGUUAGUACUUUAUAACACAUUCUCCAAAUUUCCAUUGAAAAAAAAAUGGGAGCUAGAAAAAAAUAAUAAACUGAAGUUCAAAGCAAACAGAGGAGCAACUUUCUUAACAACCCACCUCAACCCUCAAGAUUCCAGGAGCUUCACAGCCUUGAAGUCUGAUGGUUCUUGGGUCCAAUCUGAUGGAUUAAUAAAACUCUCAAGGGAAAACUCCAAAAUCAUGAUUCAAAAAAACAGGGAGCAUCUGAUCUAGUCCUGUAAUUCAUAUGGAGCCUCACUCUACUCCAGAUACUCCAGAAAGUGUUUUCGUCUUCCAGUUUAUAGGGCAGGAUGUUUGUGUAAGGACCUGGGAUUGUUCCAAUCCAUGCUUGUGGGUCAGUGGAGACAUGAUAGAAAAACACAUUUAUUUAAAUAAACACAAGUGGUUCUGUAGAUGCUGGAAAUUUUAAGCAACACACACACGCACUCACCCGCCCACCCACACCCAAAAUGCUGGAGGAACUCAGCAGCUCAGCCAGCAUCUAUGGAGAGGAAUGAACAGUCGAUAUUUUGGGUCAAGACCCUUCAUCAGGACCUGAUUUGGUCUGACCUUUAUCAUGUCCUUUGUACAGCCAGAGCUGGUUAACUAAGUAAUUUUUCCGAUUUCAUGUGCUUUUGACAACUAAGCAACGCACUGGGGGAAUUCAACUAAUGGAAAAUCAUGGCCCAUUUGUACAGACUAUUUUUAAACCUCACCUGUGGUAACAGUGGCCAGAUAAGUUCACCUCAAGCGAGUAAGUUCACGCCAAUCUAAGCCACUGGCAAAACCAAACUCCAGUGAACACUUCACCAUGGAGGUUUCCUAGGACUCAGUAUUUCAACAGACAUUAAUGAAAAUGUCACUCGAUUUGCUUACCAGAAACUAAAGAACAAACUAGGUGUGAGAAACUCAGUAGCACCAACAGCUGAAUGGAGAAUCUUCCCAUCUUGCUUCCUCCACUAACAACUUUGAAAUGGCUUUUAUCAGAUAGAAAAGCAGAAAUGAAACUAUGUAAUUUAAAGAAUGUUUAAAUAAAAGAAAGUUCCCCCUUGGUAGUUGGGAUUUAUUCAAGCAAAACCACUUCCUACCUCCCCGUAGUUCUGGACAGAGAACCAAAAAUGUACAGCACUUUAGGAGUUAGCCGUUGGCCAUGGUCUAUGGGCUUGUCGUGAUGCAUGUUUUUCAGCCCAGUCCCACUUUCCAACACUGGGUAUUUAAUCCUUCAGGUCAGGUUCUAAGGUUCGUGACGAGAAUACACAUAGAUUACGAUGUUAGCUGUCCUGUGCUGGCACCAGUGGGAUCAGCAGUUGGUCUGCCACCUGUCUUCAGGAGAGAGAGAGAUAAGGAAAACAAUGGAGCAGCAUUUGGAGAUGUUAAUGAAGGGACGGGAGAGUUUAACGGAAGAAGAGCUGUCAAGAUCGGCUCCCCCUUUGAACCCUGAACUGUUUGAAGUGAUGGACAGGCGAUACCCCAUCAAGGGGAUAAAAAGGGACAGGUUCGCUAAGGCAAGACACACGACACCUCGAGGUAACGAGACCCUGAAAGCGGUGCAUCUCCCACAAGUCAGUGGGAAGUUUUGGAAGGCGGAUCGCGGGACCAAGCCAUAGACGCACAGGGUGGAAAGGCACGAUCAGCGGGAACCUGGUGUGUGUCCGCCCUUGCCUGGGUGCCAGGUUCACCACAGAGAAAUAAUUGUAUCUGGAAACGGAGGGGUCACAGUCGGUGACCUCAGAAGACAUCACAAAGGGCUCGCCCAAAAGCUGACUGCGAAGAAUAUCGAAGGUCUGUGUGUGGAAGCCGUUUGAAUAUUCAUUCAUUUUGCUCUCUCUCUCCUUCCCCCCCACUGUCCAUCUCCCACGGCAGUGAUUACUGCGAACUGAACUGAAUUCAAUUGAACUGAACUUUGCGUCACUUUGAAACUGGUCAU